GAUGAACGCUGGCGGCGGGCCUAAUACAUGCAAGUCGAGCGAACAGACGAGGAGCGCGCUCCUCUGACGUUGGCGGCGGACGGGUGAGUAACACGUGGAUAACCUACCUAUAAGACUGGGAUAACUACGGGAGACCGGAUCUAAUACCGGAUAAUAUAUUGAACGGGAGGGUUCAUUAGAGCAAGAGGGUUUUGCUGAUCCUAAUAGAUGUUGCCGCGUCGGAUUAUUUAGUUGGUAAGGGAACGGCUUACCAAGGCGACGAUGCGUAGCUGAGCUGAGAGGAUGAUCGGCCACACUGGAACUGAGACACGGUCCAGACUCCUACGGGAGGCAGCAGUGGGGAAUAUUGGACAAUGGGCGAAAGCCUGACCGAGCAAUGCCGCGUGAGUGAAGAAGGUCUUCGGAUCGUAAAGCUCUUUUAUUGGGGAAGAACAGAAGUAUGUGUAAACCUGCAUGUCUUGACGGUACCUAAAGAAUAAGCACCGGCUAACUUCGUG
rnacentral:rRNA from 1 species